rnacentral:lncRNA from 1 species
GUGGGAGUACAUUAUUAGAAGGAUUCCACAGGUUGUUGUGGUAGAUAAGAUGUAUCAGUCACUGUCUGACAGUGGAUAGGAUGUUUGCUGUAGUGUUGUUAGUGGAGGUUAGGACUAGUAACAGGGAUGUUGUAGUGUUUGUGGAGGUUAGGACUAGUAACAGGGAUGUUGUAGUGUUAGUGGAGGUUAGGAUUAGUAACAGGGAUGUUGUGGAGGUUAGGACUAGUAACAGGGAUGUUGUAGUGUUUGUGGAGGUUAGGACUAGUAACAGGGAUGUUGUAGUGUUAGUGGAGGUUAGGAUUAGUAACAGGGAUGUUGUGGAGGUUAGGACUAGUAACAGGGAUGUUGUAGUGUUUGUGGAGGUUAGGACUAGUAACAGGGAUGUUGUAGUGUUAGUGGAGGUUAGGAUUAGUAACAGGGAUGUUGUGGAGGUUAGGACUAGUAACAGGGAUGUUGUAGUGUUUGUGGAGGUUAGGACUAGUAACAGGGAUGUUGUAGUGUUUGUGGAGGGUAGGACUAGUAACAGGGAUGUUGUAGUGUUGGUGGAGGUUAGGACUAGUAACAGGGAUGUUGUAGUGUUGGUGGAGGUUAGGACUAGUAACAGGGAUGUUGUGGAGGUUAGGACUAGUAACGGGGAUGUUGUGGUGUUGGUGGAGGUUAGGACUAGUAACAGGGAUGUUGUAGUGUUAGUGGAGGUUAGGACUAGUAACAGGGAUGUUGUAGUGUUAGUGGAGGUUAGGACUAGUAACAGGGAUGUUGUAGUGUUUGUGGAGGUCAGGACUAGUAACAGGGAUGUUGUAGUGUUAGUGGAGGUUAGGACUAGUAACAG